CCUGGCUCAGUAUGAACGCUAGCGACAGGCUUAACACAUGCAAGUCGAGGGGCAGCACAGGUAGCAAUACCGGGUGGCGACCGGCGCACGGGUGAGUAACGCGUAUGCAACUUACCUAUCAGAGGGGGAUAACCCGGCGAAAGUCGGACUAAUACCGCAUGAAGCAGGGGCCCCGCAUGGGGAUAUUUGCUAAAGAUUCAUCGCUGAUAGAUAGGCAUGCGUUCCAUUAGGCAGUUGGCGGGGUAACGGCCCACCAAACCGACGAUGGAUAGGGGUUCUGAGAGGAAGGUCCCCCACAUUGGUACUGAGACACGGACCAAACUCCUACGGGAGGCAGCAGUGAGGAAUAUUGGUCAAUGGCCGAGAGGCUGAACCAGCCAAGUCGCGUGAGGGAUGAAGGUUCUAUGGAUCGUAAACCUCUUUUAUAAGGGAAUAAAGUGCGGGACGUGUCCCGUUUUGUAUGUACCUUAUGAAUAAGGAUCGGCUAACUCCGUGCCAGCAGCCGCGGUAAUACGGAGGAUCCGAGCGUUAUCCGGAUUUAUUGGGUUUAAAGGGUGCGUAGGCGGCCUUUUAAGUCAGCGGUGAAAGUCUGUGGCUCAACCAUAGAAUUGCCGUUGAAACUGGGGGGCUUGAGUAUGUUUGAGGCAGGCGGAAUGCGUGGUGUAGCGGUGAAAUGCAUAGAUAUCACGCAGAACCCCGAUUGCGAAGGCAGCCUGCCAAGCCAUGACUGACGCUGAUGCACGAAAGCGUGGGGAUCAAACAGGAUUAGAUACCCUGGUAGUCCACGCAGUAAACGAUGAUCACUAGCUGUUUGCGAUACACUGUAAGCGGCACAGCGAAAGCGUUAAGUGAUCCACCUGGGGAGUACGCCGGCAACGGUGAAACUCAAAGGAAUUGACGGGGGCCCGCACAAGCGGAGGAACAUGUGGUUUAAUUCGAUGAUACGCGAGGAACCUUACCCGGGUUUGAACGCAUUCGGACCGAGGUGGAAACACCUUUUCUAGCAAUAGCCGUUUGCGAGGUGCUGCAUGGUUGUCGUCAGCUCGUGCCGUGAGGUGUCGGCUUAAGUGCCAUAACGAGCGCAACCCUUGCCACUAGUUACUAACAGGUAAAGCUGAGGACUCUGGUGGGACUGCCAGCGUAAGCUGCGAGGAAGGCGGGGAUGACGUCAAAUCAGCACGGCCCUUACAUCCGGGGCGACACACGUGUUACAAUGGCGUGGACAAAGGGAGGCCACCUGGUGACAGGGAGCGAAUCCCCAAACCACGUCUCAGUUCGGAUCGGAGUCUGCAACCCGACUCCGUGAAGCUGGAUUCGCUAGUAAUCGCGCAUCAGCCAUGGCGCGGUGAAUACGUUCCUGGGCCUUGUACACACCGCCCG
rnacentral:rRNA from 1 species